rnacentral:rRNA from 1 species
UACGAAGGGGGCUAGCGUUGUUCGGAAUUACUGGGCGUAAAGCGCGCGUAGGCGGUUAUGCAAGCCAGAGGUGAAAUGCCUGAGCUCAACUUAGGAAUUGCCUUUGGAACUGCAUGACUUUGAGGACGAGAGAGGUGAGUGGAAUUCCCAGUGUAGAGGUGAAAUUCGUAGAUAUUGGGAAGAACACCGGUGGCGAAGGCGGCUCACUGGCUCGUUUCUGACGCUGUAGCGCGAAAGCGAGGGGAGCGAACGGG